rnacentral:lncRNA from 1 species
UCACCUGCAGAAAUUACUCUAUUAAAACAUUACCUUACUCAUUAAGUGUACUUCUCUCAUCACAAAUAAGAUUAUCUCCUAUAUUCAUGUACCUGCUUUUCGUAUUCAUACUGAAAGCUUCUGAAGUACCAGAUGAGCUUUUAUAUUUAGAGUUUCUUCCUAGGUCCUUAAAAAGUGACUUAUACAUCCUCAGUACAGGUAUAAAAAUGGAAUAAUGAAAGACAUAUUUUUUAUAUUGGUGUAAAAUGAAUCAGUAUGAAUAUGAAACCUAGACAGGGAAUUAUUGUAAUGGACUUUGGUCAGUAAUACCAAGCACCAUUUUCCUAGAUGAGUGUAAUUCCUAUAGGAUAGAGAAUAUUACCAGUGAAAUUCAUAGUAUAUCAUCAAUUUACUGAACAAAAUUAGUUUCUGAGAGAUGUAUUUUAUGUUAUCUCUACUACUGAAGUCCCAUGAUUCCAAAUGGAAAUUUUUCAAAUAUUGUUUUUUGUGUGCUUUUUCUUAAAAUCCAUGUUUGUUUAUUUUUUUCAUAGUCAUCAGUAUUUAUUUUGUAUAAUAUGCUAUUAUAUUCCAUACAUUAAGGAAAGGAGAGUUCAAAUUCUUUUCACAGAUAUUUUCAACUUAUUUGGUAAGACAGAAAAAAAUAACAUUUAAGAAAGCAUUAUAAUUAUCUGAAGCACAAAGAUAGUAAGGAAUUGUUUAUGGUCUACAAGUAGUUUCUGGAAUAAUGUUUUAUGUUGAGACAGAAAUGAAGGUUUUUAAAAAGGCAUUAGAUUUCAGAUGCAGACGAGGGAUCCGAAUAGAAGUAUCUGGGGCAGAUGUUACAUAUCAUCUGAAGAGAGGAUUACAGAAAUGGGGAUAGAAAUCAGAGCGUCAUCAGCAUACUGAUCGCAGUAAAAUCCACUUGAGUAUACACACCACCAGAAUUAAUGCAAUUGAAGAAGAUUAGAGAAUCAAGCAUUGAAAGGUCUGGGACAACAAACAAUGUAGGACUUCAGAAAAAUAAAUCUAAGCUAAGGGGACCAGCAGAGAACAGAGACCCAGAAAUUGAUAGAAUUCCAAAGAAACCAGUCAAUACAUAAUCUCUGGUUUUGUCGACAACCCUUUUUCACUUUUUCUUUGUGAUGCUUUAACAGCUAUUUCACUGACCACCAUGUAUACUGUAUAUUCUUAUCUUUAUCCUAAUCACUCUUCUGACUUUUGAGUCUGCAUGUUCCGCCACUUUUAGGACAUUUUGUGCUAGAUUUUCGCAAGAUGUCAAAUUCCAGUCAGCUUAUUAGCUGGAGCAAAGAUAGCUGGUUGUCUCUUGUUCCUCAGCAGUAUAGUAUUCAAAAUAUUUCUGAACAUGUAACCAAGAAGAACAAAAUCUACAUUCCCCAGUCCCACUUGUCAGAAGCUAUGGCCUUGUGACUAAGUAUGUCCAGUGGGAUGGAAGCAGAAAUUGUGUGCAACUUCCUAGAAAUGUUUUUAAACAGUAUAAGCAAGACUUACCCUAUCAUAUUGUUUUUCUUCCAGUUAGCUGAAAUGGAGAUUUUAGAGCUGGACCUGGAGCUAGGUAAAAUAUACCAGAUUAUGAGGUAGCUCUGAGAACUGAGUUCAUGUAAGCAGAGCAACGAAAGAGUCUUAGUCUCUGACCCUGUAAAGAAUUUAGCCAGGUAUGGAUAUAUAAUUGGACUUUGCUGUGAGAUAAACUCUUGUCUUAUUUAAGUCACUAUUGUGUGGACCUUUCUGACCUGACCAAUCAAAAACAAUUUUAAUUGAUAUUUAUCAAAAAUCUCAUUUCCUUGUAUGUUCCCUGUUUUGUGAAUGUCACCACCAGGAAUCCAGGCAUAUAAAACAGAGCCUUUUCUUUCUCCUUCGGCCUCUCAUGACACCAACAUAGGUGUGAUUUCUACUGCCAUUGCCUUAGGCCCUUGCCAUUUCUUGCCAGGAUCAUUCCAAAACUAGUUAAUUCUUAUUUCUAGUUUUAUUUCCCUUCAAUUCAGUAUCUAUGCUUUGCCGCAUAGAUAUUGCAGAAAGACUUGUGAUCUUUUUAUAAAUCAAAAGUCUUAUCACUCUUUAAAUUCAUUUAAGGAUAAUAUGCAAAAGUCAAUAUAUUGUCUACCAGUUUCUAUCUGCCUCCCCUCUACUUCUCUGAUCUAUUGUUCAGAUUUCUAAGCUGCUCUCUGUACUCUAACCAUUUAGAAAAUCUUACAGAGACUCACUUGGCUUUUUCAUGCUCUGCUAGAAGCUAUUUUAUUUCUUUGUAAGAAAUUCCUUCUCACUUUGUUACGUAGCAAACUUCCACUUGCCUUCAGGUCGGUGCUUAACAAACUCUUCCUCUUGGAGGGGUUUUGUUGAAGACGGCCUCUUGUGCAUCCCCUGGUGCUCCACCACAGUCAAGGAGAAGUUCCUGUUCAAUGUGAUCUCAUUCAUCUGUACCCCCCGGUAUCAUAGGAACCACCAUUGUGUAAUUGAUUGUUUGCUCCUCCAUCCUUUCCAUUAGAUUUAGAUUUUUUUAAGAGCAGGAACUUGACUUUCAUUUCCGAUUAUCAGUGUUGAACAGUGCCUGACAUUCAUUCAUUCAUAUAGCAGAUAGUUACUGAACAAAUCCAUGUGUAUGUGAGAGAUUAUGAGUAAGAAUCUAGCAAUUACUAACCAGUUUGAACGUUAGAGAUCACACUCCACCUUAGAGACCAAAUAUAUUCAUCACAUGUGAAGUAGAAGCUAAGAAAUCAAUUGCCAAAUUCUCUGUUUAUCAGAAUGGUAAUUGAGUAUAACAGUAAAAAGAGAAAGCAGAAAGUAGGACAUAAUAAAUAACAAGAACUAGAGAAGCAAUGAUAUUAAACGGAGGAUACUUUAACGUCCAUUUGUACAUGUGUGUUUUAGAACGCAGGAGGGAUAUGAGUACAUAUGAAGACAAAUCUAGAGUAAAAAGCGCACCAAGUGAAGUGUAAAGAGGGAGAAAAUGAAGUUUUCCUUAGAAGCAUUUCUAAAACCUAGUACUUUUUUUUUUUUAAACCUAGUACUUUUGUGGGGGUUUUAUAAUUUAUAAAGCAUUACUCCAUUCACUAUCUCAAUUUUAUUUGCACUGAAUCCCUUUGAGCAAAUGUUAUCAUUUUUAUUUUAUAAAUAAAAAAUAAGCCCUCAAAGUAGUUAUGACCUAUUCAAGUUUAUUAAUUUCCAAGCUCAUAGGCAUAUACAAUAUACUGUAAUAUUUUUAUUUCAGAAACCUAAUGACUAAUAAAUAUGAAGUAAAAAUUAUCAAAAGUAAUACACAAAUUACCAAGUUAAAAAAAACCUAGCAUUCUUUUCAAUGACAGUUUUUCUAUAUAAAUAAAACUUUUUAAAAAUAGCUCUGUGAUGUUCUAAUCACUCGUGUGUGAAAUCAUGCAUGAUUAGAUUGAGAAUUUAAGAAAUCCAAAUAAUUGUGUAUACAUGUAUACUUAUCUCAGUCAUUUCUUAAAUACUUAAUCCAUUCCUUUCUUUCUCCACAUUUGAGGAGGUUAUAGCCUUUUAAUUCAACUUGCAUCUUUUUUUUUGGCAUCAAAAGCAUUUAGGAUUAUAUACAAAGUGUGAGCCUCAAGUGAUGUAGACAUUUUUCUCACACAAGAAAUCUUUUUUGUUCUGGUCUUACAUUCACAUCUUCAUACAUGGAUCUAGCCUUGGUCUUUGGGACUUGAGGGUUUCCUGAUGUCAAGAGCCUCUCAAGAUCCUUCCACUUAUCCUUUCAUCUUUUCUCUAGAUGGAGAGGUUUAACUAUUUCUAACUUAAUAAGAAUAUUGGAUUUGAUUUACUUUAUAGUUCCUCCAAUUAGCUUUCUGAGUACUUUUUUUGGAGGCUUUAAUCUUGCCUAAACUUGUGGGAAAGUAGAGAGAGGAAGAAAGAACACUCAUACUUUAAAAAAUGUAUUACAAUUAACUGUCAGUAUACUUGACUUAAAUCAUCUCAGACUUAGACUAUGUGGGGCUUAGUUUAAUUAUAUGAUAGAUAUCAUUGCUUCUAAAUGAAUACUAUUUCAUUAAAAAUUGAGGAGUUUGUAAUUGAAGGAAUGACCUAUAAAUGAGACCAAUGGGAAGAAAGUUGUAAUAGCCUUAAUAUCAAAUAUGAUAUUUCUUUAAUAUUUUUAAAUUCCCCAAAAUUAAAUUAGAUUUAAGACAAUUCCACUAUAUCUCUUUUAGGCUUACAUGUAGAAAUGUUAAUGUGCCCAUGCUUAUAUAUUUCUUUUUAAGGAGUAAGAGUUGGAGUUCAUGUUUCAUUUUUUUACCAGCAAACCAGAGUAAUCUGAUAUCCAAAUCAUCUGAACAUUACAGUUACCUAUUGCAACUUUACUAACUCUCUACAACUCCUAACUUAUAUAGUACACUAUUGUUCUGAUAACAUCAAAGCAAAAGAGCUGGAAUAAUAGAGAAAGGCUUUAUACCGUUAUAUGUUUACCUCUAGGAAAUUCAAAUAGAGUUAAUGAGUCAUACAUCAGAUUUUAAGAAAACAGCUAUAUGAUUACUUGAGUUAUGUUAACUCUUCAUUAAAGCAGUUGUAAUGGUAGCAUAUAAAUAAAGCCCCAAUUUAACUACCAGAAGCAUUUAAUCUACUGGAGGAGGCUCAAGAAGUUAUAUACAUUAAUUUGAAACUCACAGGUUGAGGAGCUUCAGCAACAAGGUGAUUGUAUCUGCUGUGAACUGGUGGCCUUAUGAACAUAUAUAAAUACCUAGUCAUUUAAGAAAAAAAUUUAAUUUGGCAAUUCGGCAAGUGGUUGACAGGUCUCACAACUAUAUUCUGAGGAAUUGUCCCACCAAAGAAAAGGGACUUCUAAAACUCUGUUUAUAGGCCAGGUGGACAAAAAGACAUUUGACAAUUACUGGUGAGAAAUUGAGGAGUUCCUUGGUGGCUCAGCAGGUUAAGGAUUUUCUAUCUCACAGCUGUGGCUCAGCUCACUACUGUGCUAUAGUGCAGGAUCAAUCCCUGGCCCAGGAGCUUCCACAUGCUGU